UGUGGAAUCGCAUCAUUGAACCUG
rnacentral:piRNA from 1 species